rnacentral:misc_RNA from 1 species
GAUGAAGAACGCAGUGAAAUGCGAUAAGUAAUGUGAAUUGCAGAAUUCAGUGAAUCAUCGAAUCUUUGAACGCACAUUGCGCCCGCCAGUAUUCUGGCGGGCAUGCCUGUUCGAGCGUCAUUACAACCCUCAGGCCCCCGGGCCUGGCGUUGGGGAUCGGCGGAAGCCCCCUGCGGGCACAACGCCGUCCCCCAAAUACAGUGGCGGUCCCGCCGCAGCUUCCAUUGCGUAGUAGCUAACACCUCGCAACUGGAGAGCGGCGCGGCCACGCCGUAAAACACCCAACUUCUGAAUGUUGACCUCGAAUCAGGUAGGAAUACCCGCUGAACUUAAGCAUAUCAAUAAGCGGAGGA